GACGAACGCUGGCGGCGUGCUUAACACAUGCAAGUCGAACGGUAAGGCCCUUCGGGGUACACGAGUGGCGAACGGGUGAGUAACACGUGGGUGAUCUGCCCUGCACUUCGGGAUAAGCCUGGGAAACUGGGUCUAAUACCGGAUAGGACCACUGCCUGCAUGGGUGGUGGUGGAAAGCUUUUGCGGUGUGGGAUGGGCCCGCGGCCUAUCAGCUUGUUGGUGGGGUGAUGGCCUACCAAGGCGACGACGGGUAGCCGGCCUGAGAGGGUGGCCGGCGACACUGGGACUGCGAUACGGCCCAGACGCCGACGGUGGGCAGCAGUGGGGACUAUUGCGCAAUGGGCGCACGCCUGAUGCAGCGACGCCGCGUGAGGGAUGACUGCCUUCGGGUUGUAAACCUCUUUCAGCACCGACGAAGCGCAAGUGACGGUAGGUGCAGAAGAAGGACCGGCCAACUAGGUACCAUCCGCCGCGGUAA
rnacentral:rRNA from 1 species